rnacentral:lncRNA from 1 species
AAAGCCCCGCCCCCCGCGCGUUGCCGGGAGACGGCGCCCAACCUUCCUCUGCAGCGCCCCUACCGACCCGCGCUCCGCAGCUCCUGAGGGCUUUCGAGCCCAGAUGGUCAUCUGAGACGAGAGGUGGCGGCGAAGGAGAGUCUCGCCUGUCACGCUCCCGGAGCAGGGGCUUCAUGAGGUGGCCAUGGAAACAGCCUGGCAGACUCCCAUCUCUCCUGGUGCCAUCUCCGGAGCGGAAAGUGGAGCGCCCCGCUGGCGACCAAGGCCGCACUGAGAGCCCUGGUUUGGUCAACAGUUGGGCUCCAAGGAGCCCUGGUAUUCCUUGAACAUGCAUACCUUUCCCAGCGUGAGGGACAUGGACCGUGCCGUGCGAGGGACCCCAUCUUCUGCAGCAGGAGGGAGCAGAGAAGAGAACACAGGGAUUCCUGUUGCUAAAAGGUCUGUUUUCUCCUGCUAGCCACCCUCAUCAGCCAGAGUUCAAACCCUGACAGUGCCCAUGGAGAGAUCUGGUCCAAGGCACCAACCUCUUCCUGCUGGACUGAGAAAGAGCCUCCUACUGUGUCUCUCUUUACCUCAGCUUUUGCACACCUCCAAUAUAUUGUCCACUGAAGUCAGAAUAAUCUAAAAAUAAAGGCUGAUUACCUCAUGUGGUAUAAACUUA